GAUGAACGCUGGCGGCGUGCCUAAUACAUGCAAGUCGAGCGAACAGACGAGGAGCUUGCUCCUCUGACGUUAGCGGCGGACGGGUGAGUAACACGUGGAUAACCUACCUAUAAGACUGGGAUAACUUCGGGAAACCGGAGCUAAUACCGGAUAAUAUAUUGAACCGCAUGGUUCAAUAGUGAAAGACGGUUUUGCUGUCACUUAUAGAUGGAUCCGCGCCGCAGUAGCUAGUUGGUAAGGUAACGGCUUACCAAGGCGACGAUGCGUAGCCGACCUGAGAGGGUGAUCGGCCACACUGGAACUGAGACACGGUCCAGACUCCUACGGGAGGCAGCAGUAGGGAAUCUUCCGCAAUGGGCGAAAGCCUGACGGAGCAACGCCGCAUGAGUGAUGAAGGUCUUCGGAUCGUAAAACUCUGUUAUUAGGGAAGAACAAAUGUGUAAGUAACUAUGCACGUCUUGACGGUACCUAAUCAGAAAGCCACGGCUAACUACGUG
rnacentral:rRNA from 1 species